rnacentral:rRNA from 1 species
AUGAUCCGCCGCCGCGGCAGUUCCCCCGCGGCGGCGUUGGAAGAUGACGACAUGCUCGGGGAGAUCCUGCUUCGUCUCCCUCCCAGGCCGUCCUCCCUCCCGCGCGCAUCCGCCGUCUGCAAGCGCUGGCGAGGCCUCAUCACCGACCAUGGAUUCCACCGUCGCUUCUACGCACACCACCAUAAGCCGCCCCUCCUCGGCAUGAAUGCAGAGGUCCUUGUCUGUGACCCCAUCACCGGCGACCGGCGUCAUGUGCCGAUUCCGCCAGAGUUUAGGGUUGGCUACGUCAAGGGGACGGUGCUCUGUGCUGCACACGACAAGGGCCACGUUCAUGGCGCUUGCCACUCCACCCCUUUCAAGGUGGUCUUGCUGGUUAUGUGCCAUAAUGAUAGUCCACCUCUCGCCUCUGUUUAUUCCUCCGAGUCCGAUACAUGGGGUGAUAUCUUCUCUGCAAAGGCUCCAUGUCCGAUCUAUUCUGGUGGUCGUCUUAGCACUCUUGUUGGCAAUGCCUUUUAUUGGCCACUUAUGCAUGCAAACGAUGGUAUACUUGAAUUUGAUUUGGAUAGGCAGAGCCUCGAUGUGCUAGAGGGACCUCCCGGUACCGAUAUUCCCCUCGGCCAUCAGAUCAUCCCAGCAAAGGAUGGCACUAUUGGUAUUGCCAUGUUGUCUCGCCAUUACCAUGAUAUUCAAAUGUGGCCGAGGAAGACCAUUGGAACACAUAGCAUUCCUGAGCUCCCACCACAGAUUGAAGGAGAGAAGCCAUGGGUGAAGUUUAUACUAGGGUAUGAUGAGGAUACUGAUGGAAUAAUUUUAUACGUGAAACACAACGUCUACAUGGUUCAACUUAAGUCGAUGCAAUGUAGGAGACUUUUUGGAAGUUGGAAUGUUACUCACUAUCAUUGUUUCAAGAGUUUCUAUGCGCCAGGUGUGUCAAUGUAG